GUAGCAUUCAAUGGUUCUUAUUUCCAAAUGUAUUUGGAAAUAAGAACCAUUGAAUGCUAC
rnacentral:miRNA from 1 species